GAAGUCUUCUUUUAAACACCAUUUACAUUUUUCAGGAAAAAUGUAAAUGGUGUUUAAAAGAACUUUUC